rnacentral:rRNA from 1 species
AGUGAACGCUGGCGGUAGGCCUAACACAUGCAAGUCGAACGGCAGCACAGUAAGAGCUUGCUCUUACGGGUGGCGAGUGGCGGACGGGUGAGGAAUACAUCGGAAUCUACUUUUUCGUGGGGGAUAACGUAGGGAAACUUACGCUAAUACCGCAUACGACCUACGGGUGAAAGCAGGGGAUCUUCGGACCUUGCGCGAUUGAAUGAGCCGAUGUCGGAUUAGCUAGUUGGCGGGGUAAAGGCCCACCAAGGCGACGAUCCGUAGCUGGUCUGAGAGGAUGAUCAGCCACACUGGAACGGGGAAACGGUCCAGACUCCUACGGGAGGCAGCGGGGGGGAAUAUUGGACAAUGGGCGCAAGCCUGAUCCAGCCAUACCGCGUGGGUGAAGAAGGCCUUCGGGUGGUAAAGCCCUUUUGUUGGGAAAGAAAAGCAGCAGGUUAAUACCCCGCUGUUCUGACGGUACCCAAAGAAUAAGCACCGGCUAACUUCGU